GCUAUUCACAGUUAACUCUUCUUACGGGAAAUCAAGGGUGGCUCCCGGGGAAGUUCUCCGCGGCGGCGCCGUAGUUGUUGGCUGUCCGGCGCCCGCCUGCGCAUUCGCUUUUCAGUGCACACGCCCCAUUCCGGAACCCCGGCUCCCGCCAAGCCCUCGCGUUCUUCCCGGGAGCGAGGCGGCUGGCCACGGCGCCCCGGGACCUGUAGGUCGGAUAGGGCAAGGGGCGCCCCGACCGGCUGCCGCCGGCCCUCGCCACCUGUUGGAAUGGUAAAGCCCCAAGACCUUGCGCUGCCUGUGGCGGCGGCGACGCGCGGCUACAGGCGGACUCGCGCUUCAGCGGCCAAAGGGAAUCCCAGCCGCGGGUUUCCGUUGAUAAGUGUAAAGAACAACCCUCUCGGUGCUAAGUGCACAGUAAGUGCGAACAAUAAAUAGAUCAUUUCCCGGGGCAUCUGUCUUGAAAAGGCCCCUGCUGUUCAGAGCCCGUAGGGGGUUAUUGAUUAGUGUGGGCGCCCGCGCCCUUCCCCCACGCCCCCUCUCGCCUGUGAGAGGGUACGAAGCCUCUGUCACCGCCUGGCGCGGCGUCUGGCUCUUGCUAGGGGACUGACAAUAAGGACCAUCAAGCCUCUCAGAAACCUCCCCGCACCCUUAAGGCCACACCAUCCUGCCGGCGGAAGCCCAGGCUUAAAGAGUGCGUGCGUGAGAGUGCGCGCGUGUGAGGCUUGGUCUGCCUAUCUCGGUUACCACAGUAGAGCCGAGGAGGGAAACGAGUGGGGGAAGAGAAGACGGUUCGUGUGUUGUAUCCAUUUGAAUUUAGAAUUUCCUUUAAAAACUAGGUUACAGAACAAAGUGAGUGAAAACUUAAGACCCCCUCCCCCCCCCCUCUCGCGGGGAGCUCUAGUUCCGGAACUGCACGGGCCUCACUUUUCUGCGGGCAGCGCCAGCGGGUAGGGUGCACACGGCGCUCGCAGCUGAGGUCCCGCAGCUGUGGUCGGGGGAGCCGGAGCCUCCUUGUGGCUCCGAGGCUCGGCAACGCACGCCCCCUCUCGCGCUCCGCCCCGCGCGCGGUCCCGGGCCCUAGCCGUCCUCGGCAGCCGCGCCUCCCACCGCUUCCUCACCCCGGGGCGUAAUCUCCAAUCCACCCUGACCUCAGGCCUCGGCCUGCGCCCAGGCCAGUGGUCCGCCCUUCCAGAGCACUCCGGGGCGGGGCGGGGCGGGGUGGAGGUGGCAGAACAGGCUGCGCUUGCGACGCGAUUCCGCACGGGUUUGUUUCGUGACCUUGAUCACGUCCCCGCCUUAACCUCCUCAAAGUUACAACUGGGAUAAUCUUUGCCGGACUCGCCCGCCCGGUGGUGGGGUAAUAGAUUGCGGCGGGGAGGCAGAGAGACUGUCAACUAUCCCGCUGUGUGCUUGUUCACAGCCCGCCCCAGAUAUUUGGAGGUGGAGGUUGAGGUAUUCAGGCCCUGGCCUGCGGCCUCCGGGAGGAACUGGGCUCGUGGACGUUAAGGCUCCUUGGGGCCUCGCAGCGCUUCCGGAAGGCGGGCGGGCGCGGCCGAAGCGCCCGGUUGGGGCACAGGGCGCCCUUGGCAACGUUGGCCGCAUUGCCCCAUCCCGGCCCGAAGCAGAGCUGCCGGGCCCGGCACGUCCCGCAGACUCAGGCUUGGCCCCGCGCCCCGUACUCGGCUCCGGGCUGACCCCUCCACCUCGUCGCGGCGGUGGGCAGCAGCCAUGGGACUCCGCAACCCGCGGCAGGAGCCGAGCGUCGGCCUCCGCAACCUGGGCUGAAAAGGAAGCCGUGUGCGUUGUCCUGAAGCGCAGACCCGAUGGAGACCACCCAGAGCCGCGCAGGAGAUCCAGCCUCAGAGAAGGCAUUGGUUUCUGACUUUGCCAAACCCAGGCGGAGAGUCUCUCCAGGAAGAAAUCAACUUUUUCUCCCAGAAGUCUCCCAACCUUUCACAAAAAUAUAAAACCAUCUGGAAAAUUAAGCAUCUACCUGGACGGAGGGACACAGUUGAAAAUAAAAGAUUUGUUAGCAAUAGAAUUCAAAGGACGAAAGAAUCUGCGUGAUGCUACAGAUGAAAGCUCUACCCAGAGCCAUAUAUUCAAGGGCAAAGAUCAUGUUUUAUAAUGAGAAGCAGCAUGAUAUGAUGGAAGGAGGUGAAGUUUUGCAGUUAAACAGAUUGUCCCAUCUUAUGGACAGUGAAACUGAGAAUUAAUCAGAUGAAGUAACUUGCCCAGUCAUACUGCUGUUAAGUGAUGGAGUCUGGAUGAGAAUCCAGGGCAUAUAGGCAGAUGACUAUAUACCAGAGCGUCUUAUACCAAGGUGCAGCCAGAUGACUGAGUUCUCUUCAAUGGAAGGAAAAGUGGUGAUAUGUAGUGUUUCUGAGCUUGGUGCAUAAAAAAUCUCCCAUGAUAGGCUCUCUAUGCUCUUUUCCUUCACAUGAAUUGAUGCAGAGGGAUAUGGCAACAUUAGAAAUUGUAUGUUGAAGCUGGUGGAGCCACAAUAUGGAAGGAGCCUAGGACCCUGAAUCAGUGCCCAGAGGCGAGCCCCAGUUAAUCAGGAACACUCAUUUUGACGAGCCCACAUAUCCCCCCAUCUCCACCUUGACACUGGAAUUCUGAUUAAAAUGAAACAGCAAUAGAACAGAGGUCAAGAACUUGGAAGGAUUCAUAUGGAGGAAACCAG